UCAGCUCCCACCUCUCCUCACAGCCUCCAGCUCUCCACAAAGCCACCUUCAUUUGAGGAGAUGGUGUUACUAUUAGGGACAGGCAUGGGGCUGAGAGGAAAGUGAAGGCAAGCUGGGGAUGGAGCCUGGGAUGUGCUGUGGGAGCCAGGAGCAGAGGGGAUGAUGGUGUGGGUUGAGCACCAUGUCCAUGAGGAAUGGCUGUUUGCCUGCAAAGCCGCUUGCGGGUCAAGGGGACUCACAUUUCUGCUGAACAGUCCAGUAUAUCUUCACCUUGUGUAAUCUCAGCUGGACCCUUUGCUGUCAUGCUCCCCACCUGUAAAACCUCUGCUUUUGAAUCUUAAGAGAAAUCUUUACGGUGGUCAGUAAAUCCUAAUGUUGUGCUUGUUCUGUUUUAUGAGAUUUCCACUAGCACUCGGCUGUGGAGGUUUGUCACUUGCCCGAUCUAACAGCUCUAAGGACACAGCAGACUUAGGCUGAGGAGGGAAGAAGUCAGCUGGCUCCAUCUUGUUUAAAUGAGCUUCAGGUUCAGUACAUUAAUGUGCUAAUAAGGAAGUCUUGUGUUCCCACACUGUUCUUAAAGGCAUUCUCACACUGCUGACCUGACCUCUUUAAUCCUGGCUUUCCUGAAGGAAAAGCUGAUCCACCAGGCCUCCUAUAUCUAAAAUGGGAUGAAAGGAAGAGAUGGACCUAUUUCUAUGCUGGAGUUUCUCAGAAGUCAGAGAAACUCCACUGAAGCCACAAAUGUGAAGCCAGUAGAAAUGGCAGCACAGUGGGACUUCUCUGCAACACAUUGUGGUUACCUUCCAGUAGGGCCUGUUUGCAGGAAUUCAAGGAAGAAGAAUGGAAGCUGUGUACAACAGGUCCAUUGUGAGCAUUAUGAUCAUGGCACAGAUGAUGUGAAUCAGCUCCAGAGAAGCAGCAUCAGCUUAGCUGAGAAUCUCUAUAGAAGUCUCAGCUGAAGGUAAAUACCCCCAAUUUGAGCAACACUCCUUUAUUACAGCUGGACACUUGGUAUUAUUUCUGCACUUUAACACUUUAUGCAUUCUUUCAGCCCAAAUGUGAGUGUUCUUUCUAAAAUCUUCUUUCUAGGAAUAAACAAGCCUAUAACAGGCAUUGCUGAGCUGUUUGCAGCAGACAAACACAUAAGAGUUGCAAAUGCAGCCAAAGACAGAUAUCAAAAAGAAAUAGUCUCGAAAUGUUUGGCACUGUUUGCUUACCUUUGGAGUAGAUAUCCUGUUCCUCCUCUUCAAGUGUUUCACGUUAUUUUUUUAAUAGAGCUGGGUGAGCUGGUAUUUCUACUGCUCAAGCUGUCUCUAAACUUGUAUUUCCAACAGUGGCAGCAGAUUAUGAGACGAUACUUAUGGAAAUGACAUUAUAUCAUUCUUUAAAAUACCCAUCCUGCAAGGCAAAAUCUGCAGAAAUUACAGGACUAAGAGGCCUCCUUUGAGAGGCAGAAACUAUUUUAACUCGUUAUUUUUAGAGCUCUGCAAAUCACAUAUUUUUCUCUUCACUGGCAAUCCAAAAAAAAAAAAAUAUUGGAAAU